CUACGGGACGCUGCAGUGAGGAAUAUUGCACAAUGGGGGAAACCCUGAUGCAGCAACGCCGCGUGGAGGAUGACGCAUUUCGGUGUGUAAACUCCUUUUAUCAGAGAAGAAAAUGACGGUAUCUGAUGAAUAAGCUCCGGCUAACUCCGUGCCAGCAGCCGCGGUAAUACGGAGGGAGCAAGCGUUAUUCGGAAUCACUGGGCGUAAAGGACGCGUAGGCGGGUUUUUAAGUCAGGUGUGAAAUCCUAUGGCUCAACCAUAGAACUGCACUUGAAACUGGGGACCUAGAGUAUGGAAGGGGCAGGUGGAAUUAGUGGUGUAGGGGUAAAAUCCGUAGAUAUCACUAGGAAUACCGAAAGCGAAGGCGACCUGCUGGGACAUUACUGACGCUGAGGCGUGAAAGCGUGGGAGCAAACAGGAUUAGAUACCCUGGUAGUC
rnacentral:rRNA from 1 species